rnacentral:rRNA from 1 species
AUUGAACGCUGGCGGCAGGCUUAACACAUGCAAGUCGAGCGGGGUGAUGGUGCUUGCACUAUCACUUAGCGGCGGACGGGUGAGUAAUGCUUAGGAAUCUGCCUAUUAGUGGGGGACAACAUCUCGAAAGGGAUGCUAAUACCGCAUACGUCCUACGGGAGAAAGCAGGGGAUCACUUGUGACCUUGCGCUAAUAGAUGAGCCUAAGUCGGAUUAGCUAGUUGGUGGGGUAAAGGCCUACCAAGGCGACGAUCUGUAGCGGGUCUGAGAGGCUGAUCCGCCACACUGGGACGGAGACACGGCCCAGGCUCCUACGGGAGGCAGCAGUGGGGAAUAUUGGACAAUGGGGGGAACCCUGAUCCAGCCAUGCCGCGUGUGUGAAGAAGGCCUUAUGGUUGUAAAGCACUUUAAGCGAGGAGGAGGCUCUUUUGGUUAAUACCCAAGAUGAGUGGACGUUACUCGCAGAAUAAGCACCGGCUAACUCUGUGCCAGCCGCCGCAGUAA